CUUAACCCACUGAGCAAGGCCAGGGAUGGAACCCACAUCCUCAUGGAUGCUAGUCGGAUUCGUUAACCACUGUGCCACUACGGGAAUUCCGAGAGUGAUUGUUCUUACAGAUUAGCAGCCAUGGUUUGGCCCUUUGGAUUUUAUUAGCAGGUAGUGGGGAUGGGACAGCUGUGAGGACAACCUGUGAGGGCCCCACUGGGACCUUCUCCAUCCUUCAGGGUCUCUUCAAGAAGAGGCUUUCUUGAGCACUUCGCGGGCAUCGGCACAUUAGUAACCCACCUGAUCCUUACAACGAUGCCACCGGGAAGGAACUAUUCUUACCCAUUUUACAGAUGAGAAGACUAAGGCACAGAGUAGUUAAUGACUGGCCCGAGGCCACACAGCGGGCACCCAGUGGAGCAAGGCAAUCUCUCGAGCUCACAUGGGCAAAGCUCUUCACUGCUUUAAAAUGUGUGCAUGUCAGGGAUCCCAUACAAUCUCUAAGCCACUCGGCACGGCGGGGAAGACCAAGAUUCUGGGUCCUGCAUCGCAGGUGUGAUCAGCGCCCUGUCCCGAGCCACACAGUGGGUGUGCUUGGGGGGAAUGCAGACGCCCGGGCGCUCCUCCAUCCUGCUGUCUCAUGGCCAGGGUUGUUGGGGUGGGGGUGGGGGGAUCGGGUUGUUGAUUAAACUUGAGCUCAGCACCAGCAGCCUGGACCUGGGCCCUGUGACAGCCCCGGGACAUCCCCUUGGCUGGCUCUGAGACAUUUUCCACCACCGCAGGGCGGAGGAUACUGGGACUGUUGUGAGGAUGAAAGAAGUGAGUGUGUAUAAAGUCCUUGGAAGAGACAAGCUGGGAGUUCCCGUCAUGGCUCAGCGGUUAAUGAACCCUACUGGGAUCCAUGAAGAUGUGGGUUCGAUCCCUGGCCUUGCUCAGUGGGUUAAGGAUCUGGUGUUGCCAUGAGCUGUGCUAUAGGUUGCAGAUGUGGCUCCGAUCCUGCGUUGCUGCGGCUGUGGCGUAGGCCAGUGGCUACAGAAUUAAAGUACUUGGAAGAGACAA